UGUUAUCUCCAGGAUGCUGGAUCGCUCUUUCCCUUCAUCUGGAAACAUAUUUCACUACAAUUACUUAUCAUUGAACCAUACUGCAAUACAGUUCCUGGAAGACAAAAUAAUUGGCAUGGCCAGGCUCCAGUGACUCAUACAUAUAAUCCUAGCUACUCAGGAGACUGAAAUCUGAGGUUUCCAUUUUGAAGCCAGCCCAGCAAAAGAAGCUCAGGGACAGCACCCAGGUCCUGAGUUGCACUGGGACUUGCACACUAGUAAUAAUAAUAGCAAUAAUAAAUAAUGUUUGCAUUUCUUUUCUUAUGUCCUCUGCCAAUAAACAACCUAGCAUAUAUACAGGGUUGAACUGUGUCAACUGUUCUUCAUAGCAUUGGAAAUAACGCAUACGAUAGUGAUUCUUAGCAUUUCUAGUUCUGGG